rnacentral:rRNA from 1 species
UGGGGAAUUUUGGACAAUGGGCGCAAGCCUGAUCCAGCAAUGCCGCGUGCAGGUUGAAGGCCUUCGGUUUGUAAACUGCUUUUGUACGGAGCGAAAAGUUCUGCCCUAAUACGGUGGGCUCAUGACGGUAUCGUAAGAAUAAGCACCGGCUAACUACGUGCCAGCAGCCGCGGUAAUACGUAGGGUGCGAGCGUUAAUCGGAAUUACUGGGCGUAAAGCGUGCGCAGGCGGUUAGAUAAGACAGGUGUGAAAUCCCCGGGCUUAACCUGGGACCUGCAUUUGGGACUGUAUAGCUAGAGUACGGUAGAGGGGGAUGGAAUUCCGCGUGUAGCAGUGAAAUGCGUAGAUAUGCGGAGGAACACCGAUGGCGAAGGCAGUCCCCUGGACCUGUACUGACGCUCAUGAGCGAAAGCGUGGGGAGCAAACA